rnacentral:snRNA from 1 species
UCUUAGCCAAAAGGCCGA